rnacentral:rRNA from 1 species
UACGUAGGGGGCAAGCGUUGUCCGGAUUUAUUGGGCGUAAAGAGCGUGUAGGCGGCCAGAUAAGUCCGCUGUGAAAUCUCGAGGCUCAACUUCGAGCUGUCGGUGGAAACUAUCUGGCUAGAGUCCGGAAGAGGAGAAUGGAAUUCCUGGUGUAGCGGUGAAAUGCGCAGAUAUCAGGAAGAACACCCGUGGCGAAGGCGGUUCUCUGGGCCUUACCUGACGCUGAGGAGCGAAAGCGUGGGGAGCAAACGGG